GUCCUUUUGAUUAUAAUAUAAGGUCUAACCUGCCCACUGAAAAUUUAAAGGGCCGCAGUAUUUUAACUGUGCAAAGGUAGCAUAAUAAUUAGUUUCUUAAUUAGAAGCUGGUAUGAAUGGUUGAACGAGAAAUUAGCUGUCUCAAUUUAUAAGUUAAAAUUUUAUUUUUAAGUUAAAAAGCUUAAAUUAAUUUAAAAGACGAGAAGACCCUAUAGAGUUUUAUAAUUAUUAAAAUUUUAAUUUUAGGAUUUUUUUUAUUUUAAUAAUUAUUUUAUUGGGGUGAUAUAUAAAUUUAAAUAACUUUAUAUUUUUAAUAACAUAAAUUAAUGAUUUUUUGAUCCAUUAUUAAUGAUUAUAAGAAAAAAUUACCUUAGGGAUAACAGCGUAAUUUUUUUUUAGAGUUCUAAUCGAAAAAAAAGAUUGCGACCUCGAUGUUGGAUUAAAGUUAAUUUUUGGUGUAGAAGCUAUAAAAUUAGGUCUGUUCGACCUUUAAAACUUUACAUGAUCUGAGUUUAGACCGGCGUGAGCCAGGUUGGUUUCUAUCUUUAAAUAUUUUAAAUAUUUUAGUACGAAAGGACCAAGUAUUUUUAAAAUUUAAUUUUAUUUGAAUAUUA
rnacentral:rRNA from 1 species